rnacentral:rRNA from 1 species
GACAGAGGCCUCAAGCGUUAGGCGGAAUCACUGGGCUUAAAGCGCGUGUAGGCGGUCCGGUAAGUCCGCUGUGAAAGUCGAGGGCUCAACCCUCGAAUGCCGGUGGAUACUGUCGGGCUUGAGUACGGGAGAGGCGAGUGGAAUUCCUGGUGUAGCGGUGAAAUGCGCAGAUAUCAGGAGGAACACCGAUUGCGAAGGCAGCUCGCUGGAACGUUACUGACGCUGAGACGCGAAAGCGUGGGGAGCAAACAGG